rnacentral:tRNA from 1 species
GUUAACGUAGCUUAAACCAAAGCAUGGCGCUGAAGAUGCCAAGAUGAGAUUUAAAAACCUCCGAUAGCA